rnacentral:sRNA from 1 species
AGGCGCAGUAGCGGAGCCCAGAGCAUGCAAGGGAUCGGGCUUUGGCUUCUCUGCUGCAUCCCUGAGUUCAUAGAAGUCUCAUUCGGCCGCCGCCUCUUUCCUUUCUAGAUCCGGGUCUUCCUCCAGCAGCUCAAGGGCCGCGUAGCCCGGGAGGCCAUUCAGAAGGUGCAUCCGGGUGGCCUUCAGGGACCAAGGCGCCGGGAGGCACAGCCCCCAGCCCCCAUAGAGGUCUGGACGGAUCUGGCUGAGAAGAUAACAGGGCCACUGGAAGAAGCCCUGGGAGUGGCUUUCUCGCAGGUGCUCACCAUCGCGGCCACGGAACCGGUCACCCUCCUGCACUCCAAGCCCCCCAAGCCCACGCAGGCCCGUGGAAAGCCUUUGCUCCUGAGCGCCCCUGGAGGGCAGGAAGACCCCGCCCCUGAAAUCCCUAGCUCUGCCCCUGAUGCACCUAGCUCCGCAC